GUGGAUUAGAUACCCUGGUAGUCCACGCCGUAAACGAUGGGCACUAGGUGCUUGGGGGAGCGACCCCCCGAGUGCCGGCGCUAACGCAUUAAGUGCCCCGCCUGGGGAGUACGACCGCAAGGUUGAAACUCAAAGGAAUUGACGGGGGCCCGCACAAGCGGUGGAGCAUGUGGUUUAAUUCGACGCAACGCGAAGAACCUUACCCAGACUUGACAUGUACGAGAAAGCCUCUGGAAACAGGGGCCCCUCUUCGGAGCUCGUGCACAGGUGCUGCACGGUUGUCGACAACU
rnacentral:rRNA from 1 species